rnacentral:tRNA from 1 species
GCGCCGUUAGCUCAAUUGGCAGAGCAGUUGGCUCUUAACCAGCGGGUUGGGGGUUCGAUUCCCUCACGGCGCA